rnacentral:rRNA from 1 species
GUGGAUUAGAUACCCUGGUAGUCCACGCCCUAAACGAUGAGUGCUGGGUGUCUGACUUUUGUUGGGCGCCGAAGCUAACGCAAUAAGCACUCCACCUGGGAAGUACGGUCGCAAGACUGAAACUCAAAGGAAUUGACGGGGGCCCGCACAAGCGGUGGAGCAUGUGGUUUAAUUCGAAGCGACGCGAAAAACCUUACCAGGUCUUGACAUGUAGGGAAGUCUGGUGAAAGCCGGAUGUGCCCGCAAGGGAGCUCUAACACAGGUGCUGCAUGGUCGUCGUCAACU